rnacentral:lncRNA from 1 species
AGAUUGGUGUAAAGGAAGAAGAACCGGCCUUUCAUUGCCUUAGGAGUUGCAGAGGCAGGAGGAAAGAAACAGAACCAAAAGAGGUUGCUGAUUCAUUCAAUAUUUGCUUUGAUCUUCACUUGAAGUUGUUGUGUAUAACAAUUAAUUUGCAAUACUCUCUUUUUCUCCCUCUAUCUAUCUAUCUAUGUAUCUAUUUGUCUGUCUAUCAAUCCAUCCAUCUGUCCAUUUCCAUCUAUUUAUUUGUCUCUUCAUGUAUUAGCCAUGACAUUGUAUAUUAUAAUUUAAUCUCAUAAUUAUUUUCUGAAUUCAUUUU